UGCUAGGAGAUUGGAGGACGGAUUAUUUAGGGGUGGGAAUACAGUGGCGAUCAAAGGGUAGGCAAGGUCCCGGCGUGAGCCAGUAGGCGCUAACUUUCGUGUAUUGUCUUCUUUUAAUGGUUAACACCUUGAGCUCUGACACGCUUUACGGUUUAUUUUUUUAAAUGCUUUAAUGGAUGCGCACAAGAUUUAGACUUGUACUGGUAGUUUUCAGGAUACAAUUGUACAAAAUCGCUACGUAAUUUCUAUGUGACUUCAACAUUUUAUUUGCUAAAUGCAUUGUAUUUUACUUGAACACCUUUCCGAAAGCAUUUCAUACUCCAUUCCAAAAUAACAUCUUCAUCUGCGUUUCGAUCUGCUUUUUAAACAGGUGGAUUCACCAGCGGCGAUGGGGUACCUCAUGUUGAAUAAGAUAGGAUAGGGAAUGUUUUAGCAAGUUGAACAACUUAAAUACUGCGUUGCGGUGUUCUGAACAAUCCUGCGGCUUCCCUGUGAGCACAGAUGAAGAGUGCAAAUCGUUGUCUCAGGUUAACAAACGUGUGAUAUUCGCAGAGGAAGGUGUAUUAAGGUGCUAUUCAACUAUUUCCAUCAAACUCGUUUCGGUUCCUCAUAGUACAACUCAAUAAGUUGUGUUAAUGUGUUUAAAUAUAAACCCCACAACGUAAGCACUGCUAGCUAGGAGCUCGCUAUACAAGAAAUGGGAUAAACUGGCCUUGUGACCAAUCCGCUGUUGAAGUAAUUGUCACGAGGCUUUACAUUUCACGCUAGGGAAAAAUAUUAUAUCGUAUGGAUGUGCAGUAAACGAACUAGUUCUUUUAUACAUGUGUUGGUCUUUGAAAGAACGUAUUUAAUGUUCACGGACAUUAAAUAACGAAUCAGUUCGAAGCCUCUGCACUGCAUUAUGUGUUUUAUAUACCACGCCGAGAUAGUCCGGAGCUAUCACCUUAACGUCACUUAAAUGGCCGCUGUCUUCGUGGCUCAUGACGACAACUAGCAAAUGACUGACUUGGCUGCUCAUACCAAGCACCUCCCAUUGAUCGGUUCACUCUGACCGAGUAUCUCCAAUAAUAUCGGCAGUACGCCUCCUACUGAUAUGGAGAACCAUUGCAAGUUCGUCACGAAUCAGUAGAGUACACUGAACUAGAAGAAGGAAAUUGCGGGAGACCAAACCUUGGAAAUUCUGCCUGAACUUGAUGAUGUCAAUUCUGGUUCUGGGCCCGAUGACACCACUUCCAGUUUUGGACUUUGCAACACAUUCCACUCUCUCUGAAAGUUUCAUGGACUAUUUAAAGACAAUGCUGUCUUUACAUCAUCAGGUCAGAACUGAUUUUCUUCACCUCUGCUGUGUAGAAGUCCAAGUUCCAUUGUUUUUAUUUUGAAAAUAACCCGAGUGUUGAACACAUCAUUUAACACCACAGACCACAAUAUUCUUAUAGAUAGCCUUAGACAAUGGGUGGCCCUCACCAGCAGAGUCUUAAAGUGGUUUCAGUUUUACUUUCUUAGUUUUGCUGAUUGUGCAGUACUUUGGAGAUAAAUGAUAUUGAAUAUGUUGUACCACAAGUAUCCAUUCUGGGUCCACUGCUCUUUUCAAUUGACAUUCUUCUAUUAGGUCAGAUUAUCUCACAGCACAAGGUGAGCUACCACAGCUAUGCAGGCGACACAGCUUUCUUUAUCAAUAGCGUCUGAUGACCCUGAUGCUCUUGGCUAUCUGGACCAAUGCCUUAGCAGUAUUUCCAAAUGGAUGAGUAGUACGUUUCUCAAACUAAAUAAAAAAAACCAGAAACCUUAGUGAUAGGCAAACAUAACUUGAUCUCUUAGGAUCUAUCAGGUGGAAGUAAAGAAUUGAGGGGUUAUCAUCGACUCUAACCUAGACUUUAAAUCACAUAUUAACCAGAUAUGAUAACUGCAUUUUUUCAGUUAAGGAAUAUAGCAAAAUUUAGACAAAAGUCUUAUAACUUCACAAGACACUGAAAAAUUAAUUCACGCUUUUGGUUUUAGUGGACUAGAUUGCUGUAAUGCACUAACAGGACUACCUAAGAAAGAUAUCAGCAAUUAGUGCAGAAUGCAGCCACCAGAAUCUUAACUCGAAAAAGAAAAUUUGAGCACAUCUCCCCAGUUUUAGUAUUGUUAUAUUGCUUAACUGUGUCAUUCAGAACUGACUUUAAAAUAUUACUAAUGGUGUAUAAAACCUUAAAUAAUCUUGCU